ACUACGCUUCGUUUCCUCUCUUGUUACCGUCACCGUGAAUUAGCCGAUCAGGGUUUCAAGAAAAAGAGUUUCUCCGACAUGAGAGCCAAGUGGAAGAAGAAGCGUAUGAGGAGGCUGAAGAGGAAGAGACGAAAGAUGAGACAGCGAUCUAAGUAGACUCAGAGAGAGAGAGAGUGACUCCUCUUGAAAGACUUUGCUUUUCCAUCUGCUUCCUUUGUUUCCCUCAUUUCAGUUUCGCUAGAGAUCUUUAAAAGUACUUUUGGUUUGGUCUCAUUUCAGUUUUUUAAGUGUUCGUAGCUUUGUUUUUGUCGGAUUGUAGGAUCCUCAAUUAAUGGCAAUGCUAUAUGUUUUAAUUCAC